UAUGUGCGCUGCACCUCUCCUUCCCUGCCUCUUUCUGCCGCCGAGGAGCAGAUAGUGUACAGAGGGCAGGGCAAAAGAGUGAACAGGGCUCGUUUCCUGGACACUGAGGCAGAGAUCACCCUCUUCUCCCAUCACACAGUGCAGCUGCGAUGUGCUGGCAGAGGGAGUCCAGCAGCCACAGGCAGCCUCUAAACACGGCAGGAGCUAGGACCCAGUGACUGCAGCACAGGAGACUGGACCAAUCAGAGACUCUGCUCUCCGAAGUUCAUUUCAUAGUGGGGAAAACUGAAAAGCAUGGCUUCAGCAGGAGGAGGACCUUCAUCCCUAACAGUGGCAGCCAGAGGUGACAGCCUCUGGCUCCCCUCCACAAGUGACAGGGCUUGGCCAGAAAAGAGUACGACAGCAAUGCUUGGAUGAAAGUAAUUUACUAUUUGGCCAAGUGAACAUGCGUACGUCCAAAGAAUGACAAUGGGGCUCAUGGAAGACUCAUGCACAUACCACUGAAGCUACCCUCCCAGAUCUCCUGGGACAAUUGGAAAACUCCCACUAACCUGGGAGGGUAGAUGAAGAUCCUGGUUUCUCAAAUGCCCUGUCACAUUACCAUAAUGCACAAGUGAGAGCCUGGAUGCAACUGGAGGCUAGCGCGAUGACAUCACAACAUGUGAUGUGAGCAAGGCACAAAGUUGACCAUUGCCUUUUCAUGUAUAGCGAAUGGUAGCCUCCCUCACUCAAAAAGACUUGCAAUGGAUUCCCCUCCUUGCUUGGAUUCCUGGAGAAUGAUGGCAAAAUGGGUUAUUAACCAGGUACUCUAGAAAUAUAUUGGUAAAAGUGCAACGAGUCAAAAUGAAUGGUAAAAGCUUUACAAAAGAACAGCUAAAGGUGUGUAGGUAAAAGCCAUGUGAUGACGGAAAAAAGACCGAUCCACAGUAAAGGACAGA